AGUGAACGCUGGCGGUAGGCCUAACACAUGCAAGUCGAACGGCAGCACAGUAAGAGCUUGCUCUUACGGGUGGCGAGUGGCGGACGGGUGAGGAAUACAUCGGAAUCUACUUUUUCGUGGGGGAUAACGUAGGGAAACUUACGCUAAUACCGCAUACGACCUACGGGUGAAAGCAGGGGAUCUUCGGACCUUUCGCGAUUGAAUGAGCCGAUGUCGGAUUAGCUAGUUGGCGGGGUAAAGGCCCACCAAGGCGACGAUCCGUAGCUGGCCUGAGAGGAUGAUCAGCCACACUGGAACUGAGACACGGUCCAGACUCCUACGGGAGGCAGCAGUGGGGAAUAUUGGACAAUGGGCGCAAGCCUGAUCCAGCCAUACCGCGUGGGUGAAGAAGGCCUUCGGGUUGUAAAGCCCUUUUGUUGGGAAAGAAAAGCAGCAGGUUAAUACCCCGCUGUUCUGACGGUACCCAAAGAAUAAGCACCGGCUAACUUCGUG
rnacentral:rRNA from 1 species